UCUAAAGAUCAAAGCGUUUUUUUUUAUAGUGAUUUUAAUCACUGUCAGAUAUCAUUAUACUUUAUCAAACUAUGCCACGUCACCACUGUGCAGUGACCCCCGUGGCUGGGUUUUUUAUUAUAAAUAUAUCAUGAAUUUAUUCAAUAGCUAUAAAGAAUGGUUACAAAAUUGAAACAGAAAUAAUUUGUUAGACAAAUCAAUUGAUACAUUGAAUAAAUAUUAUAUGACUUGUAAUGUUCAUUUCAAACCUAAUAUGGUUUCUAAUCCAAAAAAGUAUAAACUUCGUUCUAAUGCUGUAUAUAGGGCAUGCUCUAUGCCCUAUAGAGUUUUAAACUAAUACUACUGAUGUAAAAGAUACACUUAAUGUAUGUGAAGGGAAUAUCACUCCACCAAACUUGCCAAGUCCUCUGGAAGAUAUUGGAAGAGUAUGAAAUGCAGGAUAGUGUAGCUUCCUUAUCAUAAACUCCUCAGUUGGAUUUUUUACAUACUCCCAGAAUUCAUUUAUCUUCUAAUUUGUCACUAAUUAUAAAAAAAAUUGUGCAUCUUGCUCAAAAGAAACCUCAAGGAUAUCGUUAUACUAAAGAGCUUAAACAGCUUGCUUUAACUAUAUAUUUUUUCGGGCCUCAGGCUUAUAGGUUCUUGAAAAAUAUAUUGCAAUUACCUAGUACAAGGACUCUCCAUAGAAUAACAGAGAAAUUAGAUUUAGUGCCAGGUUUAAAUAAUUUAACUUUUGAAUCUGUCAUUAAAGUUAAAUAGUUUUAAGAAUGAUGCAAUAAACUGUGUUUUAUGUAUUGAUGAAAUGUCUAUUAAGACUCAUUUAUAUUAUAAUUUGUCAAAAGAUUAUAUUUUGGGGUUUAAUAGUUCCUAUGACCAAAAAACAUAUGAGCCUGCUAAACAUAUGCUAUGUUCUAUUUUAAGAGGCCUAAAUUAUAGUUGGAAACAAUCUAUAGCAUACUAUUUUAUAAGUAAUACCUGUACUGGAGUUCACUUAAAAAAAACUAUUUUUGCUAUAAUAUUCAAAAUACAGAGUUUUUCAUUAAGAGUAAGAGUCAUAACAUCUGACCAAGGUACAAAUUUUCUAGCCUUGCUAGUAAAAUGAAUGUGUAACCUGAACGGCCUUAUUUUUUUGUGAAUCAACAAAAUAUAUUUUUUGUGUAUAAUGUUCCCUAUUUGUUGAAGUCUCAAGAAAUAAUUUUUUUAAAGUAUAAUUUUAAAUUUAUGUUUCCCUAUGGAUAGGGCAUAAAAAUACUUCCACGGCCCCUCUGCCAGUCGUAAGAGACAACUAAUGAGGUUGUGUCAGGUCGACAGCCGGCGUAAAAAUCUUUGUCAAAAAAGUAUGAGGUAUCCUGAACAAAACUUAGGCGGAUUGUCCCACCUCGGAUGGGAUAACAGAAAGUAGUUCAAAACGGAGAAGGCCUAAGGAAUAAAGUAUUUGAUACCAGCCGAACAACUUGUGCGGUAGCUGUUUCACCAGUCAUGUGUACAGAUCUACCCAACGCUUGUAGUGUUAACGGUAUAGGGACAUCACCACUUAACUAUAGGCUGAACUCGUGUAUAAGGGAGAAAGAUAGAUACAAAGUAAGAAUAGGUACUUGGAAUGUUAGAACAUUAACUGGUAUAAGUAGAGAAUUAGUAGAAGUAUUGAAGAGGAGUUAAAAUUUGUUGUAUGCAGGAAACUAAGUGAAAGGAGAGAAAUCAAGGGAAAUAGGUGAGGGUUAUAAAAUAAUAUACUCAGGUAAGUCUAGUACAAAGAAUAGUGUAGGGAUAAUAAUCGAUGAAGAGAUGAAAAAGCUUGGAAAAGUGACAGAAUUAUGGUCGUAAAAUUGAUAUUCGAAGAAAAAGUGCUGAAUGUAAUAAAUGCCUAUACACCACAAGUGGGAUGUGAUGAAAUAGACAAGGAAGUGUCUUGGAGAGAGAUGGAUGUGGUGAUAGGCGGAGAUAUGAAUGGACAUGUAGGUAAUGAGAGGAGAGAAUAUGAAAGAGUACAUGGAGAGUAUGGUUUUAGUGGGAAGAAUGAGGCUAGAGAAAGAAUACUUGACUUCGCAGUAUUGUAUGAUCUUGCUGUGGUUAAAUAACAUAUAAGAGUGGGAGGAAUAGAUCACAGAUCGAUUACUUUAUGUGGAAGAGAGAGAGUGUAAAGCGAGUAAAAGAUUGUAAAGUAAUACAAAGCGAGAGUGUAACUACACAACAUAGACUGAUGGUAAUGGAGUUGUGCUGUACCGGAAAAAGAAUAAACAAAAAUAGAAGAAACACAGGGGAAAAAUCGAAGAUCCGAUGGUGGAAAUUGAAAGAGGAAAAUUAAAAAGAGUUUGUAAAGACGGUAAAAGAGAGAACGAUGUGGAAUGUCGAGGGAGACAUAAAUGAUGUGUGGAAUAGAUUUGCUAGUUGUGUAAAGAAUACUGCAAAAGAGAUUGCUGGUGUGAGUAGGAGUAGAAUGUCAGGAAACAAGGAAAUCUGGUGGUGGGAUCUUGUUAAGAAAUCACUAGAAGAACAUUAUUGUGGUAUUUGUGUUAGUUAUGCUAAAUCUCAAAAUCAUUUAGAUGAAUGUUUUUUUUUACAUAUUUUUAGGCUUACCAUAAUGAUAAUAUAUCCACUUAUGGAAAUUUAAAUACUCCAUCUGAUGUGUUUGUAAAUUAUAUUAAUGAAUUAGAUAAAAAAAUAUUUUUAUAGAAGAAUUUCCAAUAAUUUCUGUAAACAAUAAUGUAGAAAAAGAAAUAAGUAAUUUAAUAAGUAAUAUUCCCU